rnacentral:misc_RNA from 1 species
AAGUCGUAACAAGGUUUCCGUAGGUGAACCUGCGGAAGGAUCAUUACUAAAGAUUCACGUCUUUGGUUCCAUCUCGUGCACUGUUUCCCCCCUUCGGCACUUCGGUGCUGUUGGGGCCCCCUUUUCACCCUUUUUUACUUUAAUUGUUUACUUCAUUUGGGAUUUCGGAAUAUAAUAUAACUUUCAGCAACGGAUCUCUAGGCUCUU